AUACGGAGGGUGCAAGCGUUACUCGGAAUCACUGGGCGUAAAGCGCGCGCAGGCGGUCUUUUAAGUUGGAUGUGAAAGCCUACGGCUCAACCGUAGAACUGCAUCCAAAACUAUUAGACUAGAGUGUGGGAGAGGAAGAUGGAAUUAGUUGUGUAGGGGUAAAAUCCGUAGAGAUACCUAGGAAUAUCAAAAGCGAAGGCAAUCUUCUGGAACACUACUGACGCUGAGGCGCGAAAGCGUGGGGAGCAAACAGGAUUAGAAACCCCAGUAGUCC
rnacentral:rRNA from 1 species